rnacentral:lncRNA from 1 species
CGCGACAUGACAGUUUCUGAUGGUCGAGAGUUCGACGAAGGUCCGUUUGUUUAAGAUUUUGUUCAGUGGCAGUCCAACAACACGUCUACAUGCUAUUCUUCUGAAGCUGGAUGUGUUACGACCUUCGUAGCACUUAGGGCGCCUGCCGGUGAACGAGGAAUGUUUGCGAAAUUUUGCGAAGCCCUACCGCAUGUUAUUGGCCCGAUAAUGGGAACGCCUGGUAACCGGCCUCGAUUACCAGGCUAUAAGGUUACUGGGCUGUUAACGGGCUAGGGUCGUUAAUCGGCCAGUUACCCGUAAUCAGGCUCCAUUACCAGGGUGGUUUACCAGGGUCGUUUAUCGGGCGGCCAGUUACAAGGCUAGGGUCGGUAAUCGGUCAGUUACCCGGUAAUCAGGCAGCAUUAUCGGGUGUUUACCAGGUCGUUUAUCAGGCGGCCAGUUACAAGAAUGUCCCCGGUAAUGGGGCAAUAACAUAGAUAUUAUCAGGACGUUAACCGACCAUUACGCAUUAAACAGCGAUUACCAGCUUCAUAGCGGGUUCAUAUUAUCCUACACAAAGCAUUGCCCAAUGGCCUACUACAACCUGCUCACAUCUCUCAAUCGGUACCACGAGGACUAUAGGCCCUUCUUUACUCAACAUUAAGAAUCACUUGAAACUACAGGCGCCCUCCAGGUUCCUGAUCACUGCCCGCGGUCUGCUACCUCCGCUGCUUCUUCAGCCCCCCCUUCCGAAUCUCUGCCAUGGCUCCCUUCUUGCCCUUCUCCUGCUGCACCUUAGCCCCGCGGGUCUGUACAGCUCGGCCUUUACCGACACCAAACGAUUCCUUCCUCUUUGCGGGGUUUGACGCUGUGGCCCCGAAAGCCGAAGGGUCCUCCGGCAACACCAGUGGGGUUUCCUUAGGGCGUGGACGCUUGGUUCGAGCAGGCACCACCAUGGCCACCGUUUCUUGGCUCUCCCGAGCCUUAGCCGAGGGUUGCCUCAGGCGCGUGGGCCGCCCUCUGGCAUCCAAUGCCCCUACAAAAAGUGAGAGUGAUUCAUAAAUUAAUUUUUAUGUGUAGUCGUAAUUUAUUGCCUUGUUGUUAGUAAGUUCCGUGUGUAGUCGUAAUUUAUUGUCAUGUUGAAGCUACAAUUUACCUUUGUCAGGUUUUCCGGUCACCAGGACCUUGCGGCGCC